rnacentral:lncRNA from 1 species
GCAGGAAAGAAUUCAUUUACGUGGUUUGGUCCAAGACCAAGGGUGAACAUUACGGACCCUGAAAAAAUAAGAGAAAUACUUAACAAAUUUAAUGACUUCCAGAAGAUACGUACCAAUCCUCUGCUUAAUUUGCUUGUAAGCGGCCUUGUUAACCUCGAAGGAGACCGAUGGAGCAAGCGUAGAAAAAUCAUAAACCCUGCAUUUCAUCAAGAUAAGUUGAAGGUAUAGAAUAGUGAUGGGUAAUCAGACUUUACAGAAAACAUCAUACUUAAACCAAUGCUUUUCUGAUUUAGAAAUAAUUGGAUGCAGAAUAUGUUGCCAGCAUUUUAUCAAAGUUGUAGUGACAUGUUAAGCAAAUGGGAGAAGAUGGUGUGUACAGAAGGAUACAGUGAGUUAGAUGUGAGGCCUUAUCUCGUAGAUUUGACAAGAGAUGUGAUUUCCCGAUCUGCUUUUGGAAGCAGCUUCGAAGAAGGCAAACGAAUUUUCCAAUUACUAGAGGACCAACUCGUUCUCACAAUCAAAUUAAUACAAACUGUUUACAUUCCAGGAUGGAGGUAACCGUCAACUUAAUUUACUUGAAAAAGGUUGCAAAUCUUGGAAUUGGCUAAAUUCGUGUUUGUUUUCUUGAAGGUUUUUGCCAACGAAGACAAACAGGGAGAUGAAGAUGAAACACAGAGACAUAAAAGAGUCGCUUAGGGAAAUGAUAAAGAGAAGGGAGAAGGCAAUUAAAGCAGGGGAAGAGAGCAAUGAGGACUUGUUGGACAUACUUGUGGAAUCCAAUAUCAGAGAAAUGGAAGCAAAGAAUAUGGGGAUGAGCAUUGAGGAUGUGAUUGAGGAAUGCAAGCUGUUUUACUUUGCUGGCCAAGAGACCACUUCGGUCUUACUGGUGUGGACUAUGGUUUUAUUAGCAAGGUAUCCCGAUUGGCAAAGUAAAGCAAGAGAGGAGGUUUUGCAUGUUUUGGGUGACAAUAAACCUGAUGCUGAUGGCCUUAAUCGUCUCAAAGUUGUAAGUCCCUAGCAUGUCUUUUGAAGGUCCGAUCAAUGAGGUCGACAACUCAAAAACUUUGUUUCUUUUUUCGCUAAUUCUACAGGUAACGAUGAUAUUGUACGAGGUUCUAAGGCUGUACCCACCGGUGGUUGAGCUAGGACGUUCCGUUCCAAAAGAAAUAAAACUGGGGAAUUUGUUGUUACCAGUAGGAACAGAAGUUUCGGUUCCGAUCCUGCAGAUCCACCAUGACAAAGAUCUUUGGGGUAACGACGCACGGGAAUUUAAGCCAGAGCGGUUCGCGGAAGGGGUUUCCAAAGCAACAAAGAGUCAAGUCACGUUUCUGCCAUUCGGAUGGGGUCCUAGGAUCUGUAUUGGCCAAAAUUUUGCUUUGAUGGAAGCCAAAAUGGCGAUGGCUAUGAUUCUCCAACGCUUCUGGUUCGAGCUUUCCCCUUCCUAUGCUCACUCUCCUUACAGCAGGGGAACUCUUCGUCCACAGCAUGGUGCACAGAUAAUUUUACAUAAACUUGGCUGUAAUUGAAUUGUUAUGUAAACAAAUCUUUGUGAAAACAUAGCGUUUUAGUGUAUCGUCAAAGUCCGGUGUCUGUAAUGGUACAAAUUCGAUGCAUGAAUAGUAAAUUUUGAGAUGUUUGGUGAAGUCCGAAAUAAUAUGCAGAAAUUGAGCGUCUAUGGUGGACAUAGUUGAGGGACUAAUGUGGUAAUUAUCAAUCAAAUAAUUCGGUACAAAGACUUGUAUGGAAAUUAAAGCAGGGGGAGUUGAAAAUGACUACUCUGCUUUGGGCAUCAAUUUAGAAAGAUUUAAAGUACAACUGUGUUAUCAGUUAAGGGAUUUGUUUUAAAGAGGGAAUGACAAUUAAACCUCAUGGUUUAUUUGUGCAAGGGAACCGAUGAUGGGAUGAUUAUUCUUAGUGGUAAAAAAAACCAUUAUGGAGGUUAUUACACUUGUUAUCAUCAGCUUAAAAUUCGAAUGGGUUCAAGUCGGAUUAUAUCGAGCUUGUAAGAUGAGUUCACGGACCAAGUUUGCAUAAUAAAAUACCUAAAUGAAAAAAAAUUCUAUUUUAGAGGGACGAGAGCCCCUAUCAACUCCCGGCUCAGCCACUAAACAAUACCUAUAUCAUAUAAAUAAAUACCACCAUCUAAAAGACUCAAAGAAAAACACUCAACAAAGGAUAAAUAGAUAGAUGUUGGAUAAGUGUCCAAAAUAUGAUUUAAGUGAAGAUACAUGUGGUAGGUGUUACGGAAAUGUGAAGACAAGAAUCCCACUAACGUAUGGGAUGUGUGCAGUUGAAUGUAGGGAGCAAAAAGAGGAGUGAAUCAUUUUGGUAACAUUUGGACAAGAAACAUAAUGAACAAAAUGGAAGGAGAGGAAGCUAGUAAAAGAAUUUUUUUGGGUCAUAUAAUUUGUUCAUUUUGGAGUUGAAUUAUAAUUUUUUUAUAUAUUAUUUUAAAAUUUUAAGGAGUUAAAACAAAAUUAUUUUAUUUUCAGAUGGUCAAAGUAGAGGUGAUAAUGGGUUGGGCUAUUCGGCCCGGCCUGACGAUUCACUCGAAAAAUAGGAGGGUUUAGGUAAAAAUAUAGGCUCGAAAUAGGGAUUUGAGCAAAAAAAGAGUCCCGUUUAGAAAAUGGGCCAGGCCUCGGGUAAAAUUUUUUGGGCCCAAGCCUGACCUGAAUUAUAUAUUAAAUAUAUUUUUUAAUUUUUAAUCAAAUAUACUUUUUUUUAUUAAUUUGGUUAUUAUUUUAGUUCUAAUUUGUUUCAAUUUUAAUAUAACCACUUUUUAUUAUAUUUUCAAUUUGUGUAUUGUUUUAAGAAUUGUUUUAGUCUCAUUUUUUUAUUUAUUUUUUGUUUUAAUAAUUGUUUUAAAAAUUUUUAUUUAAUGAAAUAAGCUAAAAAAAUUAAUAUGGGCUUGGCCAGGCCAGGCUCGGGCCUAGUAAUUUUCUUUUGGGCCGGACUUAGAUAAAAUUUUAAGCCCAUAUUUUAAAUUGGGUCCUAACCUAAAAAAUGAACCUAAAAUUUUAUAUGGGCCCGACUUGGCCCUUGAUUACCUUUAGGUCAGAGCUAUCCUCGUUUUGCAUUUCUUUGAGAUUCAGCCUUAUCUACUGUGAUUGCCCACUCAAUUGAGGGUUGAGUAGAAAGAUUUGGUGAAGCAAGCUAAGCUAUCAAUCAAGGUUUGCAUAAUUAUUUAAAUGUAAUUCUAAUAUUAAAAUAAUUUUUUUAUUAAUAUAGUAUCAACAAGCAUUAAAUGUAAUGAUCAUAUACUAUUACAUUUUAAAGAAGAGAAAACAUGUUUGAACUUUAAAAACCACGUUACUAAAAACAUUAUCACAAACCUUGAAAUAUAAAAAAUAAUUUUUUUAAUAUAAUAAAAAAUUAAUUUUAAACCCGAGCUGAAUAAAAUUCUAAUUUUAGUUAAUGAUACGAACAACAAAUCAAUAUUCUAAGCCCGAGCCCUGCUCAUUUUUUUAAUAAACACCAAAAAUUUAUUUUGAAAAUAAAAAAUAAAAAAAAUAUUUUAAAAAUAUUUUAAAAAUAAAAAAAAUUAAAAAUAAAUAUUUAUUAUAUAUUCAGGCCGGGCCGGGCUAGCCUUGGGCUAAAAAAAUGGUGCCCGAGGCCCGGCCCAUUUUCUAAAUAGGCCUCAUUUUUUGUCCAAACCCAUAUUUUGGGCCUAUAUUUUUACCCGAACCUCUCAUAUUUUGGGCGGACCGUCGGGCCGGACCGGGCCGCCCGGCCAUGAACACCUCUAGGGCAAAGUCACUCAAUGAAUGCAUGGAAAGAAAUAUUGCAACUUGGUGACAGCUUUUGUUGGAGUUAUAUGCUUUUUUUUACAUAGUGGAACUUUCGGUGGAUUUUCAAGUUUCAUGAACUUUAUACCCUAGGCUUUACGUGAAAAAAAUCAUUGGACUUAAAAGUCUACCAAAAGUUUCACUAUAAUAAAUAAAUAAAUAAAUAACAUUGCUACAAGACUACAACAUAAAGUUACAAUAAGAGCUUAUAACUCAACAAAGGCUAUCAAUAAAUAAUCUCAAGCAAGCUAAAGAGAAAUGUUGAGAGUACCACUCAAAUAGUGAUUGACUUUAAAAAUUGAAAACCCGAAGUUAUUGUUGACACCAUUUUUUGGAUGAAAAUGUGUCGACUUGGGUUUUGAAAAUGAAAACGAAAACGAGAGUCGCCACCAAUCCUUUUUGAUAAGGUGUGACUGGGUCACCUUGAAAAGUGGUUGUUUUUAAUAAACGAUUUGAUUUUAUUAAAACAACAGUUUUGGUCCACGAAAUUCAGAAAAAUGAGUUCGGGAGUCGGUUACGCACGAGGAAGGAUUAGCACCCUCGAUACGCCCAAAAUUGGUACCUAGUUGAUUACUUAAUGUCUUAAUGUCGAAAAUUGAAAACUUUGGAGAAUUUUAAACAUACGAUCCUUGUAUUAAAACGUUAAAAAUUUUCAAGAAAAUGGGAUAUUUCACGUUAUUCGAUAAAGAGAAUCAUAUCCUAGUAAGUUAGGACACAAUAUCUCGAAUUUCCGAUAUCAUUUAAAACUUGAGUUUGAAAAGAUUCGUGUAAUAAAGUUUAAAAUAAUAUUCAAUUGUUUAAAUCAAAUGAAGAAAUCGCAACCCAAUACGUUAGGGCACAAUUUCUCAAAAUAUUAAACAUUGAAUAUUGCAUUUAUUUCGAAAAAUCCUCAUCUCGAGAAAACGUGUCACAUCCAAUGCAUUAGAAUACAACGUAUUGAAUUCUCGAUAACGAGCUUUUUCUCAUUUUUUAAAAGAGUAAUCUCGAUUAUUUAGGUUCAACGAAGAAAAUCAAAACCCAAUACGUUAGGGCUCGAUUUUCUCAAAGAUUCCAAAUACCGAGUAUUACUUAUAUUUUUAAAAUUUCUUUUUUGAAAUCCGAGUAAAAAUGAAUGCAAAAUAAUAAAUGAUGACAAUGUAAAUAAAAUGAUACAAGCAAAACAAUAAACAAUAAAAAUAAUCAUACGGGCAAGGUAACAAAUAAUUAGGAACUAAAGAAAGAGAACAAACAAUAAUAAACAUGCAAAUAAAUGAACAAAAUUAACAACAUGAUGCAAAUAUGAAAGAUAUAUAAGCACAUAUAUAUACAUAAAAUAAUGAGAAUAUGAAAAAAUGUGUGUAAUUGGACAUGUUUCGGAAUUAUUAUACAUUUAAAAAUCAUGUAAAUGUGUGUACAUACAUAUAUACAUAUAUAAUAAUCAUUAAAUAUAUAAAAAUACAUAUGUGUAGGUAUAUAUGAGUCAUAAAAUGUAAAGAAUAUAUACAAGAUAUAUUUUGAACGUAUAAAGUAUAUGUAAAUGUAUAUAUAUAAUAAAGGUGUAUGAAAGCAUAUUUUAUAUACGUGUAUUUAUAAAAUGUAUAUAAAUGUAUAUUGAUUUACCAAUACAUAUGGAUUUAUAAUUAUAGAAUAUAUAUAAAAUAUUUACAUAUAUACGUUUAUGCAUAUAUAAAAGUAAGUUAUUAUAAAAUAUGAGCAAGCAGAAUACAUAAAUAUAUAUACAUAAAAUAAAAAUGAAGAUGAAAAUAAUAUAAAACUACUUAAUAUAUUAAUAUAAUAGUAACAAAUUAAAAAAACAGAAAAUAAAGCUAAUAAUAAUUAAUAAUAGUAGUAAUAAUUAUAGCAGCAAUGAUAAUGAUAAUAAUAAUAACACUAAAAAAAUUAAUUAAAUAAUAAAAUUGCUAAAAAGGGAUUAAAUCGAAAUAAAAACAUAAAUACUGGGCGAUUUUGAAAUAAAAAACGGGAAGGACCGAAUUGCAACGCGCGUUGAAAAGGAAAGGGCCAAAACUGCAAAUAAACCACAGCCCCAAAACGCAGCGUUGAAAUGGACCAAGUCGAAAUAAAAAUAAAAUUGCAGGGGCUAAAUUAAAAAUAAGAGAAAAUAACGAAAAAUGAUCAAAUUGUAAUACGCUGCAAAAUCAGGGGGACUGCACGCGCAAAUAGCCCAAAAACUGAAAACACGCGGAUCCUCCGGGUCGGGUCGGGUCGGGUCAGGUCGACGUGCGGAUCCCCUUUGCUAAAACGGCGUCGUUUCAUGUUUAAUAUAAAUACUAAAAAAAGCUAAAAAAAACAGUUUCAUCUUUUUUUAAAAAAAACAGAGAGAAAACUCUCUCUUUUUCCCUCAGGUCCGGCCAUGGUCCGGCUUGGGAUUUCCGACGAGUCUCCGCCGCAAAGCCACCGUGUGUGGCGGCCGGAGGUUCAAAAUCAGACCUUUUUGGUCCUUUUUUAAAGUCCAUGGCCUCCAAGCCACAGAUCCGGGGCUGAAUCUCCUGAAUCGAAAGCCGAAGACCCAAAAAAUGGGGUGAAAUCCUUCGCCUUCCUCCCCCUUCCGGCGCUGCGCAGGUAAGGUUUUUUUUAACUCCUUUUUUACUAUCUUUAUUUAUAUAUAUACAUGAAGAGAAAAGAGAGCAAAAUAAAUAAAUAAAUAAAAACUUCAAAACUGAAGAGAAAAAGACCUUGAAUCUGCCUUAUUUAUUUUCUUUCGGUUGAAUCUGUUUUUGUUUGUUACAAAAGUUUCCAGGGAAGAGAAAAAAAAAGAGAGUUACAUGCUUGGCUUUUAUAGCCGAUAUUAAUUUCUAUUUUUUGUUUUCUUUUUCCUUUCUUUUCUUUGGCUGUUGCGUGUUUGCUUCCUUAUUGCAGGGUGAUUGACGGGAGUGGUUGGCGACAGAGUCGGUGGCCACUUGCACUGAUGAAGCAGCGGUGGCGGCGCUAGGGUAGGCUAGGGACGGCGGCAGUACUAGGGUUUCAGAAAACUGAAACCCUAGUUUGACAAAUUGGUUUCGGGCCUGUUGGGCUUUAAAUUAUGGGCUUUGUAAUUGGGUUUUGGGUUUAGGUGAUUUGGGUUUAGGUGGUAUGGGCCCGGGUCAAAUUUUGGGUAAUGGGAUUGGGGCAAAAUUGGGUUGUACAGUUAUAAUAUCCCAAACGAAAUCAAACUAUAAACAUUAAAUUUUUCGAGUCUUCUAGAUACUGUAAAAAAUUCAGCUCCAACGGACACCAAAUGAACCUAUGAUCGAAGAAAAUACGAAGACUAGUCUGGCUAAAUCAAUCUGCCAAACUUACUUUUUAUCUUAUCUUUAAUUUGCUGUGAAAUUCAAAACUACGUGUAAUACUCAAUUUAUGCUCGACCCAUUUUGUUAAAACAAAUAAAAAAGAAAAGAAAAACAAAAUAUUUAAAUUUAGCCCAAAUGUCCAUUUACACAGCCCAAUUACAAUUGCAAAUAAAAAAAACUAAAACUAAACCCGAUCCUAAGCAUCAGCCCAAAUUCGACCCAUGCCCAAAACGAAUUCAGAUGCAGAAACCCUAGCCCAGCCUUAAUGCAAGCAAAAGUCGAAAGCCCUAAUAGUUGGUGCGCCGCUCCUGUAACAGCCCGAUUUUGGGCCUAGUCGGAACAGUGGUUUUGGGACCACAAAUCCGACGAGAAAAAAAUGUAAUGGCCCGAAUUUUCAGAGGUGUCAGAACGGUGAUUCGAGAUCACUAAAUUCGACAAAUGGGUAGAAAAUAUUAUUAAUUUAGUAAGUAUAAGUUAAAUGUGAAGUUAGGAAAAUUUUUGAAAUGGUGAAUAGUACACUAGAAAUAAAUAUUAAAAUAAUUAGAAUCGAAAAUGAGGUAUCGAGACCUCGGGGAUUUUAAACCGAGCCAUAAAUAUUUUUAUAAAUAUUUAUGUAGUCUUAAAAAGUUAGUAUUAAAGUUUCGUUAAGAAAUUUUAAAGUUCCGAUAAUUAAUUGAACAAAAAGGACUAAAUUGUAACAAAUACAAAAUUAUGAGAAAUGAUUAAAUAGUUUAAAUGAUAAAAGGAAGAGGGCUUAAAAGGUAAAUAGACCCAAGGUCUAUUUGGGCUGCACGGCAAAGGCAUGAAAUCAGCAACAAAGUAAGGAGAAUUAAGGGCAAAAUUGGAAUAUUGCAAAAUUUACUUAAUAAAGUUAGGACCAAAGUGGAAUUAUCUAGAUUUCUCUUUAUUUUUCUGCAUUAUCAUCAGCAUAAACACCAUAGAAGGGUUUUCUUAAGCUGGUUCUUCCUAUUUUUACUGCAGGUAAGUUCAAUUCUUGAUUAUUUCUUGAAAAUUUUGUGUUUUUGUGACUUUUACAACUAGGCCCACUUAUUGUAUUCAUUAGUUUUUGAUUCUAUGAAAGAAGUUGAAAGUUGCUAUGAAUACAUGCUGGAAGUAUAUGAUGAUUUAGCAUGGAAUUAGAGCUUUAAAUUGUUCAUAUGCUGAUUUAUUGAAAGAAUUGAAUAGAAAGUGAAUGUUUGGGACCUAAUAGUAAAAGAGUUUGAAGAUAGAGUUAUAUGUGGAAAUUCUGAAUUUCAAUAGUUGUGAAACAACUUAUAAUGUCUAGGUUAAGUAUUAAUUGAGAAAAUUAAAUUAAUUGAGGGGUUAAUUGAGAAAGGACCGAAUUGUAUAAACUGUGAAAUUUGGGGCAAAAAGGAAAUCAACAUUUUACACUAAAGCAGUUUUGGACAGCAGCAGUAGUAUAACUUUGAAAAAUCACCAAAAAUUUUGAGAAUUGAAUUAGAGGGUGAAUAAAAUAUAAAAUUAAAGCUCCUUGAAUCUAGUUUCUCAUAGAAGAAACGGUGUAAGCAAUGGAAUUGUAAAUCAUGAGAUAUAAUAAAUUUUGUGAGACAAUGUCAUAAUGAUUUCGGGUUCCCCUAUUCUGACUUUGGAAAAUCAUCAAAAAAUUAAGAAAAAUAUGAGUUAUAAUUUAUAUGAUUACAAUCCUUAAUGAGUCUAUUUUCAAAGAAAAUAAACGGAAAUAUCAUCCAAAUUCUGUACAAUUAUAUAAUUCAUUUUUAGUGAAGAGUGGUCGAAACUGUCAGACAGCGAAAUAGGGGGAACUUUAAAGAAUAAACUGUACUAUUUGGCUGAACCAAAAAUUCUGAAAAUUUUAUGGUAAGAAGGUAUGUGAGUCUAGUUUUAAGGAAAAUUAACGGAUCUUAAUUUAGAGCUCUGUAGCUCUAGAUAAAAAUAAUUUAGUGACUCUGACUCAGAUAAAUAGCUUUGAAUGUACAUGUGAGUGAAUAGUGAAAUUAUAGCUAGUGUUGUUUAAGUGUGUUAUACACAUUAAGGAUAUGGAAUGGAGAGGAGGAGGAGGAGGAAAAAUUGGGAAAUAUAUGAAUGAUUUGUGUAUAAUUGGUCAUAUGCUUAAUUAUAAUUGAUAAACGAUGAAAUAGAAAUGAUGCAUAUAUUUGUGCAGUAUUGGUCAUGGUUUAAGCUCAUGUGGGAAAAUAAAGUUUAUAGUACGUGUGUAUUAUAUUUUUGGUAUAUGAUUUGGCAUUAAGUAAUGUCGUGAAUGGAUAUUGAAUUAACACAUGUUGGAAAGUUUGAUAUAUGAAUAAAUAUUGUGAUCAUGAAAGAGUGUUACAGCUCCUGCCUUCAGCACGCGUCGAGCCUCCGCGCCAAAUCCACGUGAGCCUCCGUACACUCCAACUAGCCUCCGUACCUGCAACAAACAAAAGUAGACAAAACAACAGCAAAGGAUAGGAAGAAAAGGCAGUAAAUAGUGAAGAUUUUUCUGUAAUUUUCUUUGGAUUUCAUUAUGUAUUUUCGGCUAUAAAAGAGCCAUUAGGAAUAUUUGUAAAGGGUUUUUUUUUUACCCUCACACACAAAGAGAAUAUACACGCAUACAAGAUCAAUAUAGAGAAAGAAAUAAAAAUAAAUAAAUACAAAGAAUAGAAAAUCAAGUUUCGAAGGUGAUUCUUUGAAAAAUCCUUUUCGUUUUUCUCAUUUUUCCUUUUUCCUGGAUCUUUUGUUCAUUUCAAGUAAAAAAAGUAUAGAAAGGAAACAAGUUUAGAGGAAGGAGGUUUACCUGGACGCCGGACCUCGCUCGCCUCGUCGAAAUCGAAGGCUGAGAGGGGAUAAAUCGGUUUUGCGGCAGAAGGAAAGGGGGGCUAGGGUUCUUGUUUUAACUUUUUUAAAAAAAAUAGAAAAGGUUGCUAAUUAGGUUUUAAUGGGGGAUUUAUGUGUGUUAAAAAAACGACGUCGUUUAGCGACCUUUGACCCGUGCGGUGACCCGACCCGAGGAAAGGAUCUGCGCGUUUUGGGUCUGAUGGGUUUAUUGCGCAACAAGCCCUUCCGCAUUUGUUUUUCGUUUCAAUUCGGUUUUUAUUUGUUUUUUAAUUGUUUUCUCAUAUUUAGUUCCAAUUUCAAUUGGGUCCAUGAUUAAACGACAUCGUUUUCAUUGAUUGGGUUUGAAGGCCUGGUUUUGUGCGUCUAAAUUGCAGCAAUGGUCCCCCUGAUGUGCAAUAGUUCUCGAUUUAGUCGUCUCCACACUUAUUUCAAAGUCGUCCUUGAGAUUUUGUUUUAUUUUUGAAAUUGUCCUUGUCUUCUUUUAAUUUAUAAUGAUAUUAUUAUUAUUGUUGUUGUUAUUAUUACUAUUAAUAUGGGUAUUGUUAUCAUGUUAGUUUAUAUCUAUUUAUUUACUUUUAUUUUAUUAUGUAUUAUUAUAUAAUGCUUUUAUCAUGUAUCAUUUUAUAUAUUUUCUAUGUUAAUCUAAUAUGAUAUAUAUAUAUAUAUGUAUUUUUGUGAUCUUAUUUUAUAAUACUUUUUUAACCCAUUUAUAUGCCUUUAUGUUUUAAAGAUUUAUAAUAUUUUGUGCAAAACUAUUAUAUAUAUAUAUAGAUAUACAAUUUAUAUUAGACCAUUUUUAUCGUACAUAUACGUAUAUAUAAUUUAUAUUUUGAAACUCUAUUUUAUUAUAUUUUAUGCCUCUAUAUACAUCAUUAUAUGUUUAUUAUUCUUUAUAUUAAACCUGCCAUUUCACUUAUAUAUUUUUAAAACCAAUGUGUAUUAUUCUUUCUUCUUUGUUAUUUUUUAUCUCUUAAAAUAGAUUGAUAAUUCAUUUAAUUUUUGAAUGUUGUAUGACCGAGAUUAUCGUUGCCAUUCUUGUCCAAAUUUAUCCAUUGCUUGUUCAUAUUAUUUGAUAAUUUAUCGCUCACUAGCAUGUAUCGUAAUUUACGAAUUAUCAUUUUGAAUUAUGUACUACCAUUCAAUCGCAUUACAUUUGUUUGGAAAACAUCGAAAUCGUUUUGCACAUAAACCUUCAAAAUGCUUGGUAUCCAAAAUUCUCGAGAGGAUUGUGCCCUAAUUUAUUGGGCUUCAAUUCCCCUUUUUGAUUUUAAAUAACCGAAUACCCCUUUUUCAAUUUGAACAUAGAAAUUCCAAAAUAAAAAAAAACUCAUUCUCGGGAAUUUGAUGCGUUGUGUCCUAACGUAUUGUAUAUGACAUAUUUUUCUCGAGACGAGGAUUUUUCUAACAAAUAAAAAUAAAGGCAAUAUUCGAUAUUUAGGAAUUUUGUGAAAUCGAACCCUAACUUACUGGGUUUUGAUUUUUUCAUUUGACCCAAGUAGGAUAUCCUUCACAAAUGCACAGAUUUUAAAAAAUCAAAAGAUAAACUUAAUUUCGAGGAUUUAAAAUGUUACACUCUGACUUACUGAGUGUGUCAAUUUAUUUCUUUGAAAUAAGUGAGUCUUAUCAUCCAAUUUAUUUUAUUCAAAUUUUCUUUUCCAAGGAUCGUAUUUUAAAAUUUUUUCAAAAUUUCGACAUUAAGACAUUAAGCAAUCAAUUCAGUACCAAUUUUGGGCGUCACGAGGGUGCUAACUCUUCCUCGUGCGUAAUCGACUCCCGAACCAGUUUUCUCAAAAUUCACAGACCUAAAAUUAUUUUCAAGGUGAUCCGAUCACACCACAAUAAAAGAUCAGUGGUGACUCCCAUUCCUAUUUUUAAAAGUCGAUUCCUGUUUUUCAUAUAUAAAAAAAUGGUUUCGACACUACGGUUUUGUUUGUUUCCCUUAGAACAACUUUCAAAAAGUUAAUUUUGAAAAAUGGAUUGAAUUUUCAAAAUAGAUGAUAUUUUUUUGUGUUAAAAUUUUAUUCGUUGUUUGAAAAAAAAAUUUAAAUCAUUUUCUUAGAAUUAUUUUUAGUGAAACAAAUAUAUCAUAAAUAUAUUUGUUAUAAAAUAUUAUAUUAAUAUUUUCUUUUAACAAUUAAAAUAUAUUUUGUGAUAAGGUAAUAUUUUAUAAUAAUUAAUAUCAUAUAUACUUAAUAAUAAAUCAUGUCUAAUUAAAAUUUAAUUUCAAUUAAAUAUAUUAAUAAAGCUACAUUUAAUCAUAUUUUAUAUAAUUAAAAUAUUAAUAUAAAUAUUUUUCAAUAAUAUAUUAAAGAAUAUUUAAAAUUUAAAUUUAUUAUUACUAAGAUUAAUUAUUAAAACAAAAAUGUAAUAUUAAAUAAUUUAUCCAAUGAUAAGUUAUAUUAAUAAUUUAUUAUAUUAUUAAAUAUAAAUAAUUAAAUAUGUAUGUUUAAUAAUAUUAUGUUAUAAUAUUUAUUACUAAUAUUUUAAUAUUUUUAAACAACCAUGUUUUAAAGAUGGUGGUGAUGGUGAUGGUGCAGGCCCCCUUGUUAAAAUUACAAUAUUUUUAAGUGGGAUGCAUGUAAUAUAUUGUUAGGGUUUUAGAGUAUGUGGUCUUUAAAAGGGUUAAAUUAUAUAUUUAUAUAAUAUGAUUAUUGUUUAUAAACAUAAUAUUGUAGAUAAGUUUAUAUGUAUGUCAAUAUGUAUCCUACUCUAAGGUUAAUAUGUAUUUUUUAGAUGUGGGUUUACCUAUAUAAUAGUAUGAAUCCAUCAUGUGGUCUCAUGAAAUAUACAAACACAUAUCGUGCGAACACAAAGUACGAACAAUAAAAAAUACAAAUCAAGACCCAAUUGAAUAAUUGAAUAACGGAUAGGUAAUAAUGAAUAUCAUAACAUUUACUAUCCCCUCUUUUCUAGUGAGUUAUUGUUUAUGAUAAAUUUGCAACAAAUGUUUUUAUCAUUAUUUUGUUGGUAAAUGAUAAUAAGAUUAAACAUUACUUUCUUAAGCUCCUUCAAUUCUUUGGACGUUAGCGAGUAAACUUGAGCUUCAGCAUUCCACAAACACCUUAAUUUGAAGACACAGUUCUCUCAUACUAAAAACGACAUGGACGUUUACCUUGUAAUUAGAGAUUUGGGCUCAUUGUUGGGUUAUUAAUGAUACGGGGAUGGAGAGCUUUAAACUGGGUAUGGUUGGCCCCAAAGAGGCUCGAAACGUGCUUGAGACUAGAGGUGAUCAAGGGCCGGGUUAGGCCCAGUCUAGAAAAAAAAUUAGGCCCAUUUUUUAGAUUUGAACUCGGCUCGGCUCAAAAUAUAAGCUUAAAAAUUUGUCUAAGUUCAGUCCGAAAGAAAAUUGUUAAGCCCAAGCUCGACCCAUAUUAAAUUUUACAACACCAAAAAAGUAUAUUUAAAUAAAAAUAAAAUAUAUAUAUUUAAUAUAUAAUUCGGGCCGAGCUGAACUCGGGCCAAAAAAGUUUUACUCGGGGCUGGUCCGUUUUCUAAACAGACUUCGUUUUUUUUGCCAAAAUCCAUAUUUUUACCCGAAUCUUCCUAUUUUUUGGGGUGUGCCGUCGGGCCGAACUGGGUAACCGAACCAAUGAUCACCUCUGUAAUCACUGAAUUUUGUCCGGGAAUAACUUUCGUUAAAAAAAUUUUAAAAUUAAAAAAAAAUUAACUUUUUUGCUUUUUGACCCCUAAACUUUUCUAAAAUUUCAUUUUAACCCCUAAACUUUCUCAAAAUUACAGUUCAACCCCUAAACUUUUCUAAAUUACAUUUUGACCCCUAAAAUUUCUUAAAAUUACAUUUGGACCCUUACACUUUCUCAAAAUUACGUUUCGGCCCCAAAAUUUUUGCUACAUUUACAAAUUGGUCCUUCUGUCAGAAAAUCCCCAAUAAUCCGGCGGAUUUCGUGCACCUGCCCCACUAUUUCCGGCAGCCGGCCUAGGGCAUGGCCUUCCCCACCUGCUACCUGCAAACAAGAAGCAAAAUCAACUAUAAAAAGGAGUUUAAACUCCAAAAAUCGGACCCCCACCCACGAAAAAAAUAAAAAAAAAAAACUUGAAAGAAAAAGAAAAAAGCUUUGAGAAAGAAAAAGAAAAGGAAAAGAAGAGAGGGGAGAAGGAGAGGCCGACCAUCGGCGAGCCACCGGAGGAGGCGACGGCAGCAGCGGCAUCGACGGCGGCGUAGAAGACCGAACGGAGAAGAAGAAGAAGAAGAAAAAAAAAGAAAGAAGAGAAAGAAAGAAGGAAGAAGAAGAAGAAAGAAACAAAAAAAAAAGAAAAUAUUUUGUAAUAGUCGGCCCGGCCCGACUCGACCUGCACGACCCGUGACCCGACCCGACAGCACCAGCAACCUAGCAGGCCACGGUAGCAGCCCGGCGGCCCAAAGAGUAGCCCAAAAAGAAAAAAAGAAGAAGAACAAAGCAAAAAAAAAAAGCAGGCCAUUUUCAGCAGGCCCAGUGCAGCCCAGCAGACCCAGCGAACCCAGCAGGCCAGGCCCACACGCAAGCAGCCCAACAGAAAAAAAGGGAAAGAAAAAGAAAAGAAAAAAGAAAAAAGAAAAAAGAAGAAGAAGGGGUUCAAUUUGUAUUAUCCGUUCGGCGAAGCUCGUGUUUUGAGGAUUUUUUUUCGGUAAUUUUAUUUUUUAAUUUUAAUUUAAUGCUCGUAUUUUUUUUAAAUAUUAUUAGUAUUUUAUGCAUUUUUAUAUUUUGGCAUUUAUAUUUUUAAUUUAAUUUACUUCAAUUUUUAUUUUAUUUUAUUUUAAAUAAUUUUAAUAAAUGAGGCAACGAAUCGAUUUAACAUAAAAUCGUUGAUUUCAUUGCUAUGUUGGGUGAAUAUCAUCGGUUUGUGUUAAACACGAUACACCCUUUUUAAAAAAAAGAAAAAAAUCGAAAAAAUUCUAAAAUUCUCAUUUUUUUAAAAUUCUCGUGUUUUAAUAGAAUCACGAUUAAAUAUUAAGUUGAAUCGAUUUGGCACUAAUUCGAUGAUUUCAUCUCCAUGUAGGGAUGAAUAUCAUUUAUUCGUGUUAAAUAUGGUACUUCUGAAAAAAAAUCGGGUUUCAAAAAUUUUCGUGUUUUCAAAAAUUCUCAUGUUUCAAAAAUCUUCGUGUUUUAAAAAUUCCAGUGUUUCAAAAAUUUUCGUGUUUUCAAAAAAAAAUUUCUCGUGUUUUUAAAAAUUCCCGUAUAUCGAAAUUUUCUUGUUUUCAAAAAAAAAAUUCCAUGUUUCAUAAAUUUCCGUGUUUUCAAAAAAAAAUUCUUGUUUUUCAAAAAUUUUCGUUUUUAAAAAAUUUGACCGUGUUUCAUAAAUUUUCGUAUUUCAAAAAAACCUCGUGUUUCAAAAUUUUCGGGUUUUUUUAAAAACAAUUCGUGUUUCUAAAAUUCUCGUAUUUUAAAAAAAAUCGUGUUUUCAAAAAAAGAAAAAGUUGUUGUGCUUUAAAAUUAUCGUGUUUCAAUCGGAUCACGAUUAAUAUUAAAUUGAACUCGUAUUUUUGAAAAUGAAAACAACGCGCGUUUAACGAGAUACCAAUUUUGGGCGUCGCGAGGGUGCUAAUACCUUCCUCGCGCGUAACCGACUCCCGAACCUUAAUUUUCUCUGAAUUUUUACGUGGACCUAAAAUUACCUCUUUUUAGAAAAGUUUAAAAAUGAAUUUUUCUUCUAAAAAGAGAAUUUUGUAGGUGUCCGAUCACACCUAAAAAAAGAUCGGUGGCGACUCCUUUUUUUCAAAUAAAAUCGAGAUUCAGUUUUCAAGUUUUUAAUAAUUACUUCGACAAGCGCCCGUGCGCAAAAUUUUUAAGUCGCUACAGCCUCUACUUGAGACAACAGGGUUUUGCAGGGAAUUCUUACAGGUUCGUUUCUGGCGACAAAAAAGAGCUCUUCACUAUAAGCAUACAAACAAGAGCCAAAACUAUGCCUCUUAGUGAUGAUAUUAGGCCUUAUGUUAUUCCUUUUCAACAUCAAACCGUCAACCGGUAUGGUAUGUUUUUUUUAUUUAAUCUGCAAUUUGUGAUAAUUCUUUGUUAUUUAUGUAUGGAAUUUAUUGGGAGGAAAUGCUGGAAAGAAUUCAUUUACGAGAAUUGGUCCAAGAUCAAGGGUGAACAUUACGGACCCUGAAAAAUAAGAGAAAUACUUAACAAAUUUAAUGACUUCCAGAAGAUACGUACCAAUCCACUGCUUAAUUUGCUUGUAAGCGGCCUUGUUAACCUCGAAGGAGACCGAUGGAGCAAGCAUAGAAAAAUCAUAACCCUUGCAUUUCAUCAAGAUAAGUUGAAGGUAUAGAAUAGUAAUGGGUACUCAAGACUUUAAAGAAAACAUCAUACUUAAGCCUAUGCUUUUCUGAUUUAGAAAUAAUUGGAUGCAGAAUAUGUUGCCAGCAUUUUAUCAAAGUUGUAGUGACAUGUUUAAGCAAAUGGGAGAAGAUGGUGUGUACAGAAGGAUACAUUGAGUUAGAUGUGUCGCCUUAUCUCGUAGAUUUGACAAGAGAUGUUAUUUCCCGAUCUGCUUUUGGAAGCAGCUUCGAAGAAGGCAAACGAAUUUUCCAAUUACUAGAGGACCAACUCGUUCUCACAAUCAAAUUAAUACAAACUGUUUACAUUCCAGGAUGGAGGUAACCGUCUACUUUAAUUUACUUGAAAAAGGUUGCAAAUGUUGGAAUUGGCUAAAUUCGUGUUUGUUUUCUUGAAGGUUUUUGCCCACAAAGACAAACAGGGAGGUGAAGAUGAAACACAAAGACAUAAAAGAGUCGCUCAGGGAAAUGAUAAAAAGAAGAAAGCAGGCAAUUAAAGCAGGGGAAGAGAGUAAUGAGGACUUGUUGGACAUACUUGUGGAAUCCAAUAUCAGAGAAAUGGAAGCAAAGAAUAUGGGGAUGAGCAUUGAGGAUGUGAUUGAGGAAUGCAAGCUGUUUUACUUAGCUGGCCAGGAGACCACUUCGGUCUUACUGGUGUGGACUAUGGUUUUAUUAGCAAGGUAUCCCGAUUGGCAAAGUAAAGCAAGAGAGGAGGUUUUGCAUGUUUUGGGUGACAGUAAACCUGAUGCUGAUGGCCUUAAUCGUCUCAAAGUUGUAAGUCCCUAGCAUGUCUCUUGAAGGCCCGAUCUCUGAGGUCGACAACUCAAAAACUUGGUUCUUUGUUUCGCUAAUUCUACAGUUAACAAUGAUAUUGUACGAGGUUCUAAGGCUGUACCCACCAGUGAUUGAGCUAGGACGUUCCGUUCCAAAAGAAAUAAAACUGGGAAAUUUGUUGUUACCAGCAGGAACAGACGUUUCGGUUCCAAUCCUGCAGAUCCACCAUGACAAAGAUCUUUGGGGCGACGCCGCACGGGAAUUUAAGCCACAGCGGUUCACGGAAGGGGUUUCCUAAGCAACAAAGAGUCAAGUCACGUUUCUGCCAUUCGGAUGGGGUCCUAGGAUCUGCAUUGGCCAAAACUUUGCCAUGAUGGAAGCUAAAAUGGCGAUGGCUAUGAUUCUCCAACGCUUCUGGUUUGAGCUUUCCCCUUCCUAUGCUUACUCUCCUUACAACAUGGCAACUCUUCGUCCACAGCAUGGUGCACAGAUAAUUUUACAUAAACUUGGCUGUAAUUGAAUUGUUAUGUAAGCAAAUCUUUGUGAAAAUAUAGUGUUUUAGUGUAUCGUCAACGUCUGUCUGUAAUGGUACAAUUCCGAUGCAUGAAUAGUAAAUUUUGAGAUGUUUGGUGAAGUCCGAAAUAAUAUGCAGAAAUUGAGUGUCUAUGGUGGACAUAGUUGAGGGACUAAUGUGGUAAUUAUCAAUCAAAUAAUUCGGUACAAAGACUUAUAUGGAAAUUAAAGCAGGGGGAGUUGAAAAUGACUACUCUGCUUUGGGCAUCAAUUUAGAAAGAUUUAAAGUACAAAUGUGUUAUUAGUUAAGGGAUUUGUUUUAAAGAGGGAAUGACAAUUAAACCUCAUGGUUGAUUUGUGGAAGGGAACCAAUGAUGGGAUGAUUACUCUUAGUGGUGAAAAAAAAACUAUUAAGGUGGUUAUUAUAGUUGUUAUCACCAGCCUAAAAUUUGAAUAGGUUCAGGUCGGAUUAUAUUGAGCUUGCAAGAUUAGUUCACGGACCAAACUUGCAUGAUAAUAGGUAUUCACAACAAGAUAUCUAUAGUUUCCAACAAAGUCACAUGUGAGAUCGUGCAUUAGAACCGCAUAAACAUGUUUUAUGUUUAGAAUAUGAUAUGUGUCUAUGUGUAUAGAAUCUACCUAAUAUAUCAUAUUAAUGAAUAGUAUCAAUUGCGGAGCCAAAAAAUUAUUUGUGAGGGGUCAGAAUUAAAUUGUAUAUUUUUACAAAAAUAAAAAUUAAAUUUCACUAUUUUAAUAGUUUAUUUAUUUUUAAUUUUUAAAUGAUUAAAUUAAAUUUUAUAAAUUUUUAGGAUCAAAGUAUAAUUUUAUCAUUACUAAUUUAAAAUUUUAUAAAUUAUAAAAAGUUUAUAUGAAAAGUUUUCUAUUUUAGGGUGGCCAAAGCCCCUGUCAACUUCUGACUCGAUCACUUGCGGUUAGUUGGGUAAAGACUCAAGAAAAAUAGCGGUGUGUUUGGAUGGACGGUGCGUUUACUUGCGGUUAGUGUAAAAAUAGCGGUGGCGGUGAGAUUAGAUACUAUAGCAACACUGUAGCGUGAGACAAAAAGUAAGUUAAACGCACUGCACUGCACUUAAUCGUCUAUCUAAACUCACCAUAAGUGUCUAAAAUAUGAUUUAAGUGAAGAUACGUGGGGUAGGUGUCAUGGAAAUGUAAAAAAAAAAAAGAAUCCUACUAAUGUAUGGGAUGUGUACAAUUGAAUGCAGGAGUGAAUCAUUUGGGUAACAUUUGGACAAGAAACAUAAUGAACAAAAUGAAAGGAGAGGAAGCUAGUAAUAAAAGAUUCUUUUGGGUUAUAUAAUUUGUUUGGCAUAUAUUUUUAUAAUAUUUAAAUAUCAUUUUGGAGUUGUUGAAUUAUAAUUUAUUUUUAUGUUUUAAAACAUAAUUAUUCUAUUUUUAGAGGUCAGAGUAGAGGUGAGCAUGAGUCGGGCUACUCGGCUCGGGCUGAAGGCUUGCGCAAAAUGUGAGAGAUUUGGGUAAAAAUAUAGGCCCGAAAAAUGAGUUUAGACAAAAAAAAAUAUAAGGCCCGUUGAAAAAACAGGCUAGGCCUUGGGUAAGGCAUUUUGGCCCCAGACCCGGCCCAACCCAAAUUCACUAAGGGCACGUUUGGUUCGCUGUAUUGGAAUAGAGGCGUAAUGUAAUAGAGGCGUAAUGGAAUAGAGACGUAAUAGCAAAUCAAUUGUUUGGUUGAAUGUAAUGGAAUAGAGGCGUAAUAGUAUUCUUAUAUUUGGUUGAAUGGAAUAGAGUUGUAAUAGCAUAAGGAAAAAAGUUAAAAUGACUAGAAUACCCUUAGCAGAAAUUUGUUUAGAUAAAUGAUUAUUGUUAUUGUUAUUAAAUUUUAAUAAGAUUAUUAAUAUCAGUAAUAAAUAAUUUAAUCAUAUUUUAACAUAAUUAUUAUUAAAUAUAAUUUAAUAAAAAUAUAUAAUUUAAUAAAAUUCUUAAUAUUAAAUAUUCUUAAUAUUAAAUUACUAAAAUCAUAAUAUAUAAUACUAUAAAAUAUAAUUUAACAUAAUUAUUAUUAAAUAUAAUUUAAUAAAAUUCUCAAUAUUAAAUAUAUUCUUAUAUGAAUUUACUAAAAUCAUAAUAUAUAAUACUAUAAAAUAUAAUUUAAAAUAAUUAUUAUUAAAUAUAAUUUAAUAAAAAUAUAUAAUUUAAUCUAAAGUUUGAAUGUGUAUUUACCUAGCAAAAAUCAAUGAACUCUCGUGUAACUAUAACCUUAAUAAUAUAUGAUGUAUAAUUAAUAUUUCGUGACUAAUUAAUAGCAUAGAGAUAAAUAUAGUAAUGACGAAUUUAUAGUAUACGAUUAAAAUGCUAAUAAUUUAUAGUAUACAAUUAAAAUAUUAUAAAUAAAAUAAUAGUAAAUGAUAUAUAAGAUAAAUUAACAUAUAAAUAAUUCAGAUAUGUAAAGGAUAUGGCUGAAUAUGGUUGCUCCAAUAAUAAAGGAUAUAUAAUAUAUCAUGGUGUUGUUUUGUUUAGAUAGUUCGGUAACUUAGGAGGGUAUGUAUGAAGAACACAAGUUGAUGCAGAUAGAAAGACGACAAUAUUACAUGAUUACAAUAUGAUAUAGUAUAUAUAUAUAAUUUAUGGAUUCCUUGCAAUCACGUGGGUUCUCUAGCCAUUUUAUUUAGCAUAUCCAGUGAUAUUAAGAUCCAGAAUUAUAAUACAACUAAAAUCUGUGCACACUUAUGGAUGAUCCAACAAAGCCUCAGUUGGCUUUAGGUUCCAAAUCUUGCAACCCACAAACCAUAUUUGCUGGCACUGCAACAUCAAUCAUCUUAGGAUAUGCCAAGUUAAGAUCUGUUGCACCAACAAAAACAGAGGAGAAAUUGGAAGGCGAUCCGAAAAAACCCAAGGAUGCUUUUUCUUUUCUUUUUUUUUUAUAAUCUUUAUAGACUGGUUAUAUUGAGCAUCAACUUACUUUCCAUGAUGUUUUUGAAAGUCUCUUACAAAAAGGGUAUUCAACAAAUAAUAUAAUCAGACAUAUUGAUAGGACAAAUUGAAACUAGUAUUCUAUGAUCAUAAUAAAGAGUAAUCUUUAAUCAAAUGCGUGAAGGUAUUGAGAUGUCAUGCUUUUUCAUGAUUUCCUGUUUUACCAUGGCGAUGUUCAUUGGAAUAGUCCCAUCCAAGAGAAUCAAACCAAUGCUCAGCAAGAAAUGUUCAAUGCAUAUGUAAUUUUAAUUACAGAAGUUAUAUGCAGCUUAUAUGAGUUCAAGAUCAUAAAAUACUUCAUGGACAAAAGGAAACCCUUUCUUAUCACUGAAAUGAAAAUAGGCACUCUUAAUUUUCUAUUGUCAAAAGUAGCAAGCCAUUUUCCAAAGAAAAGGGAAGAUGGAUGGUUCCAGAAAGAAUACCUCAUCCUUUGUCAAGUGUGGAUUAUAUAGCAUCUCCUCUCCCACAGUGGUUACCUAUAAUCAAUGAGGUUUAUAAAAUCGAGCAAUCAUUUAUAUAUGUAAGAAAUGAUAGGAAUAAAGUUUUAUAUCUUACUGAGAAUCCUUUGUAGUCAUGAGCUGGAUAUAGCAAUGUCUCUUUCGGUAAUGUAAAAAUCUGGAUCCAUGAAACAAAUAAGUCCAUAAAUUUUAUUCAAAUUUUGACAAUUACAAUAAAAUUUUGAGAACUCAAAGAAUGUGACCAUAAAAAGUCCCCUGUCCUUACCUGUGAAUGCACUGACUUGUAGAGUUGCUGUGAACUUCCACCCUGCAAAAUGCAUUAAUCAGUGCUAGUCAAUGGCUACUGAAUGUGGGAGCAUUAGAGAAAAUUAUCUUAAAAACUUAAGUAUAACAAAAUUAGACAAUGACAUCCAGAUGGAAAGAAAUUGCCAGCAUAUAAGACCAGCAUUUAUGUACUCACGACUGAAAAUCCUUUGCAAAAAGUAUAGCCCUGAUAGUUCAAACUUUUACUUCAAGGAUGAUUUAAUUACUGAUUAGUUUGCCAUGAGGCUUGUGAAUGACAAACACUUUAUGUGCAACCACAGUAACAAGGUAAGCACCAAUAAGUAGAAGACUAGACGAAUAGGUAACCAAGAGUUAGAGCUAAAACAGACAAACAGAGCUACUAUCCAAUGAGCUAAAACAUACAAACAGAGGUAUAUUUUAAUAAUGAAAAUAAUCGAUUGCCUUAAACACCAUAUAGUGUUCCAAUCAAUCAAAUUAUAGCAGGCAUUAAAACCUUUCCCUUUCGUUAAUUCACAACUAUUAGCUUCAUUAAUCAAAUCCUAUGUACAGUUGAUCGAUUGAAAGUGUAACAUUUCAAAGACGAAAUUUAAACGCAAAACUGGUUAACAUUGAAAUUACAUGUAAAUAUAACCUAAAAAAUCAAAAAAUUAAUCAUAUUUUCAGAUUUCAGGCCGAAAUGGAAUGAAAUGAAAGGUAAAUCCAUUUUUUCCCCAAAAAAACAAAAAUAAAGAAAUAAUAUUUCAAGAACAGAUCAUUAAAUUCAUGGUAUAUAUAAAGAAAUUUAAUUGAAAUCAAAGGAAUAGAAGAAGGGAAAAGCGUACUUGGAACCAUUGCUGCUACUCUCUGUUACUCUGUUACCUCAUACGAUUCGUUAAAGGGUUGUUAGGGUUUGUUAAAAGGUUGGUCAGGAUAGAAGCAUGAAAAGGAGGGAGAAGGUUGGAAGGAAAUGGGAAGAAAAAUGAAAAAAAGAAGAAGAUGCUGCAACGGCUUGGAGGGUAAAAGAGGACCGAUUAGGUAAUCCUUUCUUUUGGAAGGGAUUACAAAUCGGCGCUGCAUAAGGGAAAAUGGGGAAUCAGUGCGCUGCGUAAUAGGCCCGUAUUAAGGCAAUACAGCCAACCAAACAUGGUAAUCAGUGGGGCCACGAAUUAGGGGUGUAUUGGCUAAUCCAAUACACCCAACCAAACAUGCUCUAAAGGACAAAAAAAUUUGAUUUUUUAAAUAUUAUUUUCUCUCUAUUUUGCUAUCAUUUUACUAUUAUGUUGCUACUAUGUUAUUGUUAUUUUUGAAUAUUGUAUAAAACUUAUUUUAUUGUUAAUUUUGUUAUUAUUUUAAAGACAUUUGUUAAUUUUGUUAUUAUUUUAGAGACAUUUGUUUGUUAAGUUGCAUCUAUCUUAGUGUUAUUUAAGUAUACAUAUUUUUUAAAAUUUAUUUUCAAUUUAUUGGGAAAUAUUUAUUUUGAUGUUUUUAGUAUUUUGGAUGUAUUAUAUAUAUUAAAAUUAUAUAAAAAUUAAUAUGGCCGAGCCAGGUCAGGCCCAGAUUUUAGCAUUUUUAUUCAGGUCGGGCUUGAGCAAAAUUUUAAGCCCAUUUUUUGGGCCAAACCAGGCCUGGGCUUAGCAAAUGGGCCUAAAUUUUUAGUCAAGCUCGACCUAAACCCGAUCCGGCCCAUGCUCACCUCUAGAUCAGAGCUGCCCUCGCUUUGCAUUUCUUUGAGAUUCAGUCUUAUCUACUGUUGAUUGCCCACUCAAUGGAGGGUUGAGUAGAAAGAUUUGGUGAAGCAAGCUAAGCUAUCAAUCAAGGUUGGAGAAAGCUUAGGAGGUCACAAUGCAUAAUUAUUUAAAUGUAAUUCUAAUAUUUAAAUAAAAUUUAUUAAUAUAGUAUUAACAAGCCCUAAAUGUAAUGAUUAUAUACUAUUACAUUUUUAAGAAGAGAAAACAUGUUUGAACCUUAAAAACAUCAUUAUUAAAAAUGAUAAUUACAAAUUUUAAAAUAUAAAAAAUAUAAUUAAAAAUUAAUUUUAAACCCGAGCUGGAUAAAAUUCUAAUUUUAGAUAACGAUACUAAUAAGAAAUCAAUAUUAAAAUGAAAAUGAAAAGUAAUUUAAUAUAAUUUUUGAGUCUUGGGCAAAGGCACUCAAUGAAUGCUUGGAAAGAAAUAAUGCAACUUGGUGAUAGCUUUUGUUGGAGUAAUAUGCUCUUAUUAUAGUUUUAUGUUUUUAUCUUGCAAAAACAACAUAUUGGAGUUUUCGGCAUGAUUUUUUCUUAAUACUUUACAUGAAAAAUAAUAAUGGGACUUAAAUUGCUACAAUAUUACAACACAAAGUUACAAUAAGAGCUUAUAACUCAACAAAGGCUAUCAAUAAAUAAUCUCAGGCAAGCUAAAGAGAAAUGUUGAGAAUACCACCCGAAUAGUGACUGACUUUAAAAGUUGAAAACCCGAAGCUAUAUUAUCUCAAACGAAAUCAAACCAUAAACAUUAAAAUUUUCAAGUCUACUAGUUACUGUAAAAAAUUCAGCUCCAACAGACACCAAAUGAGCCUUUGAUCGAAGAAAGUACGAAAAAUAGUCUAGGUAAACCAAGCUUCCAAACUUACUUAUCUUAUCUUUAAUUUGCAGUGAAAUUCAAAAUUAAGAUUUUGUUUAUUUCACUUGGAACAACUUUCAAAAAAUUAUUUUUGAAAAAUGAAUUGGUUUUUCGAAAUAGAUGAUAUUUUAUUGUGUCAAAAUUUUAUUCAUUGUAGGAAAACUUUUUUUAAAUCAUUUUCUUAGAGUUAUUUUUAGUUAAAUAAACAUAACAUAAAUAUAUUUGUUACAAAAAAUUAUACUAGUAUUUUCUUUUGACAAUUAAAAUUUAUUUUAUGGUAAGACAAUAUUUUAUAAUAAUUAAUAUCAUAUAUAUACGUAAUAAAAAUCAUGUUUAAUUAAAAUUUAAUUAAAAUUAGAUGUAUUAAUAAAGCUACUCCUCCACAACCCGCAUCCGCAACAGCACCAGCACCAGCACCAGCACCAGCAUCAGCACCAUGGGACAACUAUUGGGUUUCCUCCACCUGCCUCUAUCGCUCCUCCUCAGUAUUACCCCCAAGCCUACCAGACCGUGCCGGGUAUUCUACAAAUAUGAAAAAACCUUCUUCUCUUUUUAUUAGCUUAUCGAAAUGAAGGAUUUUGAGAUUUGGGCUUUUGUUAGAUGGAUGGUUAAUGAUAUUUUUUAGAUGAAAGAUACAAGUUUUUUAAUGUUUUAGAAGAAAAGGUGUUUAAAUAUUAGGAGUUUUUUAGCAGAGAAAGAAGAUAAAUAAAUGCAUAGAGAUACAUUAGCAAUAUUAUUUGGAUUUGGUUGUCUAAUGUAAUGAAGAAUUUUUUAAGGGUGACCUGAGUAGGUGUGGCAAGAUUCAAAGUUUUUUCUAUUAUAGCAGAUAUAUAUAUAUUAAUGGUUUAAGAAGACUAGAAGUCGGUUUCAAAGGAAGAUGAGAAAUAAAAGCAUUUAUAUAUAUGAUAUGUCAUUAAUUCAUAAACCAAAUAUAUAAAGUAUGUAAAAGUGUCAGGGGUUAAUCAUGGUGUUUUGACAAUCCGGUAACCUUCAACUUGAAGAAAACCUUAGGUUUCAAAAAUUUAUGUGAAGAGUUAGAAUGGUAUGCUUCAUGGAUCUGAAUAACUAGAACAGUGUAAGAGUGGUAUAUUGUGUCAAGUUUGGUUUCUUGUAUAUAAUUGUAUCGAAAACAAUGUUACAUGAGUUAAAAUGAAUGUUCAUCCAAUUUAACAAAGCCUGCAUUAUGUUGAUCAAAAUUUUUAAUUCAUGUUGAGGUUUCUUCCGUGAUAUCUUUGAUGUCAAGGUUAUGAUGUUGCUGAAGGGACACCUGUAAGAGAUAAGCCACCGUGCUGUGGCAUUGGAUUCGGAUGGUUCUUGUAAGUGUACAUAGUUUUCUUUGUUUUUAAAGAGUUCUUUACAUAUGAAGUAAAACAAGUAGCGACUUGAUGGAUAUGUCAUUAAGCUUUAACUUAAGCAAAUCAUUUUCCUUCAUCUCUAAUUGCCAUUUCUUUAAAAGAAAAAGAGGAAGUUUUGUAGUUUACAGUUUGGACAAAUGGAAGUUAAUAUAAUGCACUAUUUGGAUGGACUAUGGAGAUAUCCAAUCAUAUUGGAUGAGUUAUAAGAAACCUGUGAGUUCAUAUUGGGUUUACUUUAUAUCAUAAUUAGAUUGUUGAGCUGGCUGUCAUACUUAGAUGGUAUUUCACGUUGCUACUUGUUAAACUAUACCACUUUCACAUUCAUACGUGAAAUGGCUGGGAUUUAGUGCCAUUCUACUUAGCAGCCUCGUGUAAUACACAGGUGAAAUGUUUAUGUCUUCAUGUCACCUUAAAGUUCCCAUUUCCAUGACGGUAUUGUUAAGUAAAGACUGGUACAUACCCCAAAAUACGGAAAUUGUUUUGGAUGUAUACUAUACUUUACCAUGCAUGAUUUUUUACAAGUUUGCAUGGUAUUUUAUCAUUAUAUUGGUCUUUAUUUUCUAUACUCGCAGCUUCCAUUAAUAUAUUUUUAUGAAUUUUAUCAUUAUGCUGGUUUGAAGGUUCAUCAUUGGUUUCUUCAUUGGGGGCCAUCCCUGGUAUAUUGGAUUCUUUGUUUUACUUUGUGCAAGGAUAGACGACAGAGAGAAAGCAGGAUAUAUUGCAUGCACAAUUGCCGUGAGUAUCUUUUCUAUCAUUAUUUUUUUCUUUUCCAAUUUUAUGAAAGCCAUCCUUCCUGCCUUGUAUUGAUCAUCAAUUUAACCAUUAUAUAUAUGUAUCUUAUGUAUUUGUACCAUGCUUUAUCUUCAAUGCAAAUAUAAGUUAAACUACAAAGAUUGGAUUGUUAAAAAAAGUUUAAAAUGUUAAAAAAAUUGAAAAUUUUGAUUUUGUAAGAAUGAUAGAAAACCAAGGCCAGUGCUUGCAUAUGUUAUCUACUACAUGCACAAUCGGGUCGAUGUCUGUAUAUGUUUCAUGUUUAGAAAUCGUGUUCAAUUGGGUUACGAUAUGUACAAUUGAAGUGUCAAUUUAUAAUUUCCUUAUCAAGAUUACACAUUUUUUUGUUAAUAUUCGGAAUCACUCAAUGGUUAUAAACCCUGAUUGGAUACUGUCCACAAAGUCUAGUUGGAACAUCCCUUGUAUUCUUUGUCCUUUCUAAGAACUUUCCUUUCCAUCAUUCUCGCUUCUGUUUUUUUUUUCUUCCCUCUACUUUAAGUCAUUAUCUAACGUAGAUAUCCCUUGUAUUCUUUGUCCUUUCUAUGGCAAUCGAGUCAAUUGAUGGCAAGCCAAAAAAACAAAAAGAGCAGCUAUCCUGUCUUACUCGAUUGCCAUCCCUCCUGUUAAACACCAUUAAGAAAAGGAAAAUUUUAGUUAAGCUUUAAAACAGCCAUGUUUUAACGAUGUUGGUGAUGGUGCUUGUGCAGGCCCUUCUUGCUACAAUUACAAUUAUUCUUAGUGCAACAAUUAAAGCUGGUGGGUGAUAAAGCACACCUCUUUUGACUGAGAGAUGUAUAGGUUCCCAAAUAAUAUGUAUAUGCUCCCCCCCCUCCCUUUAUUUUAUUUUAUUUCCAGUAAGUUAUUGUUUAUGAUAAUUUGCAACAAAUGUUUUUGUCAUUAUUUUGUUGGUGAAUGAUAAUAAGAUUAAGCUUUACUUUCUUAAGCUCCAAUUCCUUGGACGUUGGUGAUUUUUUUAUUAUAGUUGAGUCAUUGUAUGGUAUUAAUAUAAUUUAUGUCGCUUAAAAUUUAUAACUAAAAAUAUAAAAUUUAAAUUUUACUUCAAUUUAUUUGUAUUUAUAAAUGGUUAAUUCAAACUUAUUUUUUUCCUCAUUAUAUUUUAUAUUUAAAUUAACAUUUAAACUAUUUUUCAUUAGCAAUGUUGUUAAGAAUUAUAUUUUUUAGCACCAACAUCAAACUUACUAAAAUUAAAUUUUUAACUAUUUAAAAAAAAUAUUUUUAGCUAUUUAUCAUCAUAGAGAAAAAAAGGUGACGUCACCACGCCUCAUGCUUCGACACCACAAACUAGACUCUCAUCACCCGUAUUUAUCAUCGAUUCAAAUUCCAGAACUACCUAAAAAUAUAUCUUCAAACUUCCUCUGGUUAAGUUCAUUGAUAGUCAACUUACUAUCAUUUCUAAAAAAAAAACAAAUAAAUUGGUUAAUAGUAAUCUCAAUGAUUCAAUUUUAUUCUUACCAGUAUCUGUCCUUUAGAAAGGGGCUUAUAAAAGGGGUAGAGGUGAGUAAACUUGAGCUUCAGCUUUCCACAAACACCUUAAUUUGAAGACACAGUUCUCUCAUACUAAAAAAGACAUGGAAGUUUACCUUGUAAUUAGAGAUUUGGUUUCAUUGCUUGUUGUUGGGUUAUUAAUGAUAUGGGGAUGCAGAACUUUAAACUGGGUAUGGCUGGCCCCAAAAAGGCUCGAAAGCUGCUUGAGACAACAGGGUUUUGCAGGGAAUCCUUACAGGUUCCUUUCUGGUGACAUAAAAGAGCUCUCAACUAUGAGCAGACAAACAAGAGCCAAACCUAUGCCUCUUAGUGAUGAUAUUGGGCCUUAUGUUGUUCCUUUUCAACAUCAAACUGCUAACCAGUAUGGUAUGUUUUUUUUGUUUAAUCUGCAAUUUAUGAUAAUUCUUUGUUAUUUAUGUAUGGAAUUUAUUGGGAGGAAAUGCAGGAAAGAAUUCAUUUACGUGGUUUGGUCCAAGACCAAGGGUGAACAUUACGGACCCUGAAAAAAUAAGAGAAAUACUUAACAAAUUUAAUGACUUCCAGAAGAUACAUACCAAUCCACUGCUUAAUUUGCUUGUAAGCGGCCUUGCUAACCUCGACGGAGACCGAUGGAGCAAGCGUAGAAAAAUCAUAAACCCUGCAUUUCAUCAAGAUAAGUUGAAG